rnacentral:rRNA from 1 species
GAUGAACGCUGGCGGCGUGCCUAAUACAUGCAAGUCGAGCGAAUGGAUUAAGAGCUUGCUCUUAUGAAGUUAGCGGCGGACGGGUGAGUAACACGUGGGUAACCUGCCCAUAAGACUGGGAUAACUCCGGGAAACCGGGGCUAAUACCGGAUAACAUUUUGAACCGCAUGGUUCGAAAGUGAAAGGCGGCCUCGGCUGUCACUUAUGGAUGGACCCGCGUCGCAUUAGCUAGUUGGUGAGGUAACGGCUCACCAAGGCAACGAUGCGGAGCCGACCUGAGAGGGUGAUCGGCCACACUGGGACUGAGACACGGCCCAGACUCCUACGGGAGGCAGCAGUAGGGAAUCUUCCGAAAUGGACGAAAGUCUGACGGAGCAACGCCGCGUGAGUGAUGAAGGCUUUCGGGUCGUAAAACUCUGUUGUUAGGGAAGAACAAGUGCUAGUUGAAUAAGCUGACACCUUGACGGUACCUAACCAGAAAGCCACGGCUAACUACGUGCCAGCCGCCGCCGUAA